rnacentral:tRNA from 1 species
GCUGGCGUAGCUCAGUUGGUAGAGCAGGGGUUUUGUAAACCUCAGGUCGUCUGUUCAAAUCAGACCGCCAGCU